GAUGAACGCGGCGGCGUGCCUAAUACAUGCAAGUAGAACGCUGAAGCUUGGUGCUUGCACCGAGCGGAGGAGUUGCGAACGGGUGAGUAACGCGUAGGUAACCUGCCUCUUAGCGGGGGAUAACUAUUGGAAACGAUAGCUAAUACCGCAUAAAAGUCGAUAUCGCAUGAUAUUGAUUUGAAAGGUGCAAAUGCAUCACUAAGAGAUGGACCUGCGUUGUAUUAGCUAGUUGGUGAGGUAACGGCUCACCAAGGCGACGAUACAUAGCCGACCUGAGAGGGUGAUCGGCCACACUGGGACUGAGACACGGCCCAGACUCCUACGGGAGGCAGCAGUAGGGAAUCUUCGGCAAUGGACGGAAGUCUGACCGAGCAACGCCGCGUGAGUGAAGAAGGUUUUCGGAUCGUAAAGCUCUGUUGUAAGAGAAGAACGAGUGUGAGAGUGGAAAGUUCACACUGUGACGGUAACUUACCAGAAAGGGACGGCUAACUACGUGCCGGCAGCCGCGGUAAUACGUAGGUCCCGAGCGUUAUCCGGAUUUAUUGGGCGUAAAGCGAGCGCAGGCGGUUAGAUAAGUCUGAAGUUAAAGGCUGUGGCUUAACCAUAGUACGCUUUGGAAACUGUUUAACUUGAGUGCAGAAGGGGAGAGUGGAAUUCCAUGUGUAGCGGUGAAAUGCGUAGAUAUAUGGAGGAACACCGGUGGCGAAAGCGGCUCUCUGGUCUGUAACUGACGCUGAGGCUCGAAAGCGUGGGGAGCAAACAGG
rnacentral:rRNA from 1 species